AUUGAACGCUGGCGGCAGGCCUAACACAUGCAAGUCGAGCGAGCGGCGGACGGGUGAGUAAUGUCUGGGAAACUGCCUGAUGGAGGGGGAUAACUACUGGAAACGGUAGCUCAUACCGCAUACCAUCAGAUGUGCCCACAUGGGAUUAGCUAGUAGGUGGGGUAACGGCUCACCUAGGCGACGAUCCCUAGCUGGUCUGAGAGGAUGACCAGCCAACUGGGAACGGAGACACGGUCCAGACGCCUACGGGAGGCAGCAGUGGGGAAUAGUGGACAAUGGGCGCAAGCCUGAUGCAGCCAUGCCGCGUGUGUGAAGCAGGCCUUCGGGUUGUAAAGCACUUUCAGCGGGGAGGCGGUACCCGCAGAAGAAGCACCGGCUAACUCCGUGCCAGCAGCCGCGGUAAUAC
rnacentral:rRNA from 1 species